rnacentral:rRNA from 1 species
GAGUUUGAUCCUGGCUCAGGAUAAACGCUGGCGGCGCACAUAAGACAUGCAAGUCGAACGGACUUAACCCUUUGUUUACAUUGGGAGCGGUUAGUGGCGGACUGGUGAGUAACACGUAAGCAACCUGCCUAUCAGAGGGGGAAUAACAGUGAGAAAUCACUGCUAAUACCGCAUAUGCUAACAGUAUUGCAUGAUACAGUUAGGAAAGGAGCAAUCCGCUGAUAGAUGGGCUUGCGUCUGAUUAGCUAGUUGGUGGGGCAACGGCCUACCAAGGCAACGAUCAGUAGCCGGACUGAGAGGUUGAACGGCCACAUUGGGACUGAGAUACGGCCCAGACUCCUACGGGAGGCAGCAGUCGGGAAUAUUGCGCAAUGGAGGAAACUCUGACGCAGUGACGCCGCGUAUAGGAAGAAGGUUUUCGGAUUGUAAACUAUUGUCGUUAGGGAAGAUACAAGACAGUACCUAAGGAGGAAGCCCCGGCUAACUAUGUA